GACCACAGUGGGUUCAGAAAAUCCAAGGACUUUCUUCACUGUGCGCUCCACCCAUGGCCUCAGCUCAUCUACCUCACGCUUGGGCAGAGACAUGUUGGGGGAAAAUCUAUUAAACAGACAACAAGAAACACCUCUUUGCAGUGUUGCAGAAUGUGUGCAGAGCUUGCGUGAGUACUAAUGGAGCUCACUGAAUGAACACAGCGGGAGAGAGAGAGAGACACAGGCGACAGUCGGGCAGGACGAGUGAGUAAGCACAUCAUCUGCUCCGCCCUACUCCAACGCUUUCUCUUCCAGACAAGAACAUAAUCCCUUUACUUCCAUUCAUUGCUAUGAUUAAAAUACACAUGCACAGUUAUAUUUUUACAUUUCUCAAAUAAAAAAAGGAAGCAAUUAAGAA